GACACAAAUCAAUGAUUACCCUGAAAUCUGUUUAGGAAGAGUAUAUUUUCAGUUUUGAAAAAUAAAUGGAGAGGAAAAGAUCUGCGGAAGGGGAAGACCAAGAAGGCUGUGGAUUAAGGAAAAGAUGGAAGGCUGAAUAUAAUGAACCUUCUGAUGAUGAAGACGAGAAGGAGGAGGAGGAUCAAAAAACUUGGAGGACAGAAGGAAAACAGCUUUUGCCUGUAAUCUGUGGAACCACAGAGGGCAUCCUUGAUUGUGAGAAGCUGGAACAAGGUAAGGCGUGUAUUGUGUAUGAAGGCAAAUGGUGCAAGCCCUCUAGGUUUGAG